GAAGGAAUGAAAAAAUGGGAAGGAAUUGAAAAUCAUGAAAUUUAAUUGAGAGGGAACUAAAACACUGCCACAGAUUUCAACGACAGAUUAGCAAGGGAUGUUUUCUAUCGCUGGUUCUGUCGAUAAUUCGUCUCUAAUCCCUUGUUAAAUGGCUUGAAUAACGGAAUAGAAAUCAUGGUGUUUUCUAUCGCUUAUCCCUUGCAAAUCCAUUGCUGAUUAGCUAGGUAAUAGUUCCAUCGCUAAUUCUAUAGUUGAUACCUCUUUUUCUAGUAGUAAGAAGUCGAUACUUUUGAAUAAGUUUACUCUUCGGAUAUAGAAUAAAGUUUAGUUUUUAAAGACACGUAAGUUGCAUAAAAUAAAAGGAAACUUACUAUUGAAAUGUUAUGAACACUUAACGUGAUAAUGCAAUGAGCUUCAUCGGAAUUGAUAUUACUGAGAGCAAGACUGUGAAAAUAUAUUUGUUCUUGUUGCUAUGUCUUUCUCCGAUUUUCGAGACAUAGGUGGAUAUGUUUGUUU
rnacentral:lncRNA from 1 species